rnacentral:rRNA from 1 species
GACGAACGCUGGCGGCGUGCUUAACACAUGCAAGUCGAACGGAAAGGCCCUGCUUUUGUGGGGUGCUCGAGUGGCGAACGGGUGAGUAACACGUGAGUAACCUGCCCUUGACUUUGGGAUAACUUCAGGAAACUGGGGCUAAUACCGGAUAGGAGCUCCUGCUGCAUGGUGGGGGUUGGAAAGUUUCGGCGGUUGGGGAUGGACUCGCGGCUUAUCAGCUUGUUGGUGGGGUAGUGGCUUACCAAGGCGUUGACGGGUAGCCGGCCUGAGAGGGUGACCGGCGACAUUGGGACUGAGAUACGGCCCAGACUCCUACGGGAGGCAGCAGUGGGGAAUAUUGCACAAUGGGCGGAAGCCUGAUGCAGCAACGCCGCGUGCGGGAUGACGGCCUUCGGGUUGUAAACCGCUUUCGCCUGUGACGAAGCGUGAGUGACGGUAAUGGGUAAAGAAGCACCGGCUAACUACGUG